GGUGAACGCUAGCGGCAGGCUUAAUACAUGCAAGUCGUGGGGCAGCGCAGUGUAGCAAUACAUGGGCGGCGACCGGCAAACGGGUGCGUAACACGUACGCAACCUUCCCGUUACUGGGGAAUAGCCCAGGGAAACUUGGAUUAAUACCCCAUAUUAUAUUGAUUGGGCAUCUAAUUAAUAUCAAAGCUUCGGCGGUAACGGAUGGGCGUGCGGUUGAUUAGGUAGUUGGCGGGGUAACGGCCCACCAAGCCUACGAUCAAUAGCUGAUGUGAGAGCAUGAUCAGCCACACGGGCACUGAGACACGGGCCCGACUCCUACGGGAGGCAGCAGUAAGGAAUAUUGGGCAAUGGACGAAAGUCUGACCCAGCCAUGCCGCGUGGAGGAUGAAGGUCCUCUGGAUUGUAAACUUCUUUUUUCUGGGGCGAAAACCGGUUUUUCUAAACCAUUUGACAGUACCAGAAGAAUAAGCACCGGCUAACUCCGUGCCAGCAGCCGCAGUAAGAC
rnacentral:rRNA from 1 species